GUCUACGUAGUUCAGAUGGAUAGAACGUCACCCUCCUAAGGUGGAUGUCGCAGGUUCGAAUCCUGCCGUGGACA
rnacentral:tRNA from 1 species